AGCUGGGUGGCUCAAUGGAUAGAGCACCAGGCUUGUAGACAGGAGGUCCUGGACUUGAAUGUGGCCUCAGACCCAUCCCAGCUG
rnacentral:tRNA from 1 species